AUGUAGUCUGCAACUCGACUACAUGAAGCUGGAAUCGCUAGUAAUCGCAAAUCAGAAUGUUGCGGUGAAUACGUUCCCGGGUCUUGUACACACCGCCCGUCACACCAUGGGAGUCGGAAAUGCCCGAAGUCUGUGACCCAACGAAAGAGGGAGCAGCCGAAGGCAGGUCUGAUAACUGGGGUGAAGUCGUAACAAGGUAGC
rnacentral:rRNA from 1 species